GCACUUUUUUUUCCGCGCCGCCCAGCCUAUAUUGAGUCUGCCGGAGAAAUCCGGCUAUGGCGAUAAAUGGCCAUCGGAAUAAGCCGAUCGGACCCGGGGGCGGUACCCGGCGCCUCCACCAUCAGCCCAUGGACACCGGCCACCGACGCCGCGCGCGAACGUGAUCCGCCGUUGUUCCCUUCGGUUCCGUGGUCCCGACGAUCGGACCACGCGCCACCGGAGCGAGUGUUUCCGUGGGCUGCUGAUGGGGGCGAAAUAGCAUCGACGAAGGUGUAAAGGGUGUGCUUUUGCCCGGCAUGAUACCGCCGUUAUCGGGUCAACAGUAUAGUUGCCAAUGACAACUCUGCUGAGGUUGCUCUCGCUGCGUAAUGCAGUGCGAAAGACCUGAACUCAAGUCCUUGCUCCUAGCCGGGUAAGGCGCGGUACGGAGGGCACCGGGCAACAGAAGCCCUCCACU
rnacentral:tmRNA from 1 species